rnacentral:rRNA from 1 species
UUUUCCUACGGGACGCAGCAGUGGGGAAUAUUGCACAAUGGGCGAAAGCCUGAUGCAGCGACGCCGCGUGAAGGAUGAGGUAUUUCGGUAUGUAAACUUCUAUCGGCAGGGAAGAAAAUGACGGUACCUGACUAAGAAGCCCCGGCUAACUACGUGCCAGCAGCCGCGGUAAUACGUAGGGGGCAAGCGUUAUCCGGAUUUACUGGGUGUAAAGGGAGCGUAGACGGCGAUGCAAGCCAGAUGUGAAAGCCCGGGGCUCAACCCC